rnacentral:rRNA from 1 species
AUUGAACGCUGGCGGAAUGCUUUACACAUGCAAGUCGAACGGCAGCACGGGGCAACCUGGUGGCGAGUGGCGAACGGGUGAGUAAUACAUCGGAACGUGCCCAAUCGUGGGGGAUAACGUAGCGAAAGUUACGCUAAUACCGCAUACGAUCUACGGAUGAAAGCGGGGGAUCGCAAGACCUCGCGCGAGUGGAGCGGCCGAUGUCAGAUUGGGUAGUUGGUGGGGUAAAGGCUCACCAAGCCAACGAUCUGUAGCUGGUCUGAGAGGACGACCAGCCACACUGGAACUGAGACACGGUCCAGACUCCUACGGGAGGCAGCAGUGGGGAAUUUUGGACAAUGGGCGCAAGCCUGAUCCAGCCAUUCCGCGUGCAGGAUGAAGGCCUUCGG